rnacentral:rRNA from 1 species
GUCACAAUUCUAGCCAACAAACAACCCACCUGUCAAACAAACAAACAAACCAUUUAACCAAAUAGUAUGGGCGAUAGAAAUUUUACCAUGAGCAAUAGAAAAAGUACUGCAAAGGAAAGAUGAAAUAAAAAUGAAAUAAAUAACAAAAACAAAUAAAAGAAAAGAUUAAAUCUUGUACCUUUUGCAUAAUGGUCUAGUAAGUCAAACCUAACAAAAAGAAAUAAAGCUACCCACCCCGAAACUAGACGAGCUACUCAAGAGCAGCACACCAGGGCGAACCCGUCUCUGUGGCAAAAGAGUGGGACGACUUAUGAGUAGUGGCGAUAAACCUAACGAGCCUAGUGAUAGCUGGUUGCUUGAGAAAUGAAUUUUAGUUCAGCUUAAAGUAUCCUCAAAUUAAUUGAAAACUAAAAUGGCACUUUAAAGUUAAUUAAUAGAGGUACAGCUCUAUUAAUAAAGGACACAACCUACAACAUGAAUAAAGAUUAUAUCCGCCAAAGAAAUUAGCCACGUAGGCCUAAAAGCAGCCACCAUAAGAAAGCGUCAAAGCUCAACUCAACAAACCCCUUAUUAUCCCAAUAAAAAAUCUAAAUUCACAAAACAUAUCAAGCCUAUCUAUCUAUUUAUAGAUGAGCUUAUGCUAGAAUGAGUAAUGAGAGUAAACUCUCUGCAUGCAUGUGUAAAUCAGAACGAAAAAAUCACUGAUAAAUAACGGCCAAAUAUAUCACCCAACAAGAAAGAAAUAUUUAAACCCCACCCCCCGUUAACCCAACACAGGAGCAUAAAAGAAAGAUUAAAAGAUUAAAAAGGAACUCGGCAACCAAGAACUUCGCCUGUUUACCAAAAACAUCGCCUCUUGCAAUAUCAAGUAUAAGAGGUCCCGCCUGCCCAGUGAUAAUUUCAACGGCCGCGGUAUCAUGACCGUGCAAAGGUAGCGUAAUCACUUGUCUUUUAAAUAAAGACCCGUAUGAAAGGCAAAACGAAAGCUCAACUGUCUCUUUAGUCUAAUCAAUGAAAUUAAUCUCUCCGUGCAGAAGCGGAGAUGAUAAUAUAAGACGAGAAGACCCUAUGGAGCUUCAAAUACAAAAUUAACUAUACCACCCCCAAAAAGCCAACAGGCAAAACAACCCACUAUAGCCAUAAUUUGAAUUUUCGGUUGGGGCGACCACGGAAGAAAACCCAUCCUCCGAGAUAAACAAUUUAGAACCACACUUCAAAAACUAAAACAUUUAUAUAAAUGACCCACUAAGUGACCAACGAACCAAGUUACCCUAGGGAUAACAGCGCAAUCCUUUCUAAGAGCCCAUAUCGACGAAUGGGUUUACGACCUCGAUGUUGGAUCAGGACACCCAGAUGGUGCAGCCGCUAUCAAAGGUUCGUUUGUUCAACGAUUAAAGUCCUACGUGAUCUGAGUUCAGACCGGAGCAAUCCAGGUCAGUUUCUAUCUAUAGAAAAAUUUUUUCUAGUACGAAAGGACCGAAAAAAUGGAGCCCCUUAAAACCAAAGCUCUAACACUGCUGAAAACAAAUAAAGGCCCACCCACCCACACACCUUUAGAACAAAGGACAA